CGGGAAGAGCUCAAAUUUAAAAUCUGGCAGUCUUUUUGGCUGUCCGAGUUGUAAUUUAGAGAAGUGUUGCCCGCGCUGGACCAUAUACAAGUCCUCUGGAAUGGGGUGUCAUAGAGGGUGAGAAUCC
rnacentral:rRNA from 1 species